CCAGACUCCUACGGGAGGCAGCAGUGAGGAAUAUUGGUCAAUGGCCGGAAGGCUGAACCAGCCAAGCCGCGUGAAGGACGAAGGUGCCAAGCAUUGUAAACUUCUUUUGUCAAGGGACAAAAUCAGGCUCGAGAGCCUGACCGAGGGUACUUGAAGAAAAAGCAUCGGCUAACUCCGUGCCAGCAGCCGCGGUAAUACGGAGGAUGCGAGCGUUAUCCGGAUUUAUUGGGUUUAAAGGGUGCGCAGGCGGAGGUGCAAGUCAGUGGUCAAAUUGCGGGGCUCAACCCCGUACUGCCGUUGAAACUGGGGGCCUUGAGUGGGCGAGAAGAAGGCGGAAUGCGUGGUGUAGCGGUGAAAUGCAUAGAUAUCACGCAGAACCCCGAUUGCGAAGGCAGCCUUCCGGCGCCCUACUGACGCUGAGGCACGAAAGUGCGGGGAUCGAACAGGAUUAGAUACCCUGGUA
rnacentral:rRNA from 1 species